CGGGCAGUGAAGGAAUCAGGAAGCUUUUGAGGAGCAGCUUCCCACACCCAGAGCCGACCUGGGCUGAAAUAACAGGGGUGGACCCACAUCACUUCUGCACGCUUGCCGUGCCUGCUGCCACUCUCUCCCGUUUAUCUGUCACAAGAGUUUCCCCAGUAAAUCUCCUGAACAUCUAAUGUUGCCUUGGCAUUUGCCUCUCAGAGGAUCCAGCCUACCGUCUCCUCUUAGCUGGAGAUGUGUUCACAGAUGACCAGCAAAUAAGACCCUCGUCCUUCACUUCCCGCUGCAAAAGAGCAACCUGGGAGGACCAGCAUUUGUGUACUGGAUCCCCAGAUGAAAAAACUAAGAAUUAAAAGAAUUUAAAGUCACGUGCCCAAUACUGCCCAACAGAGUCCAACAGUGCAAAGAUGGCUCUUACGGGAGCCCCCUUGGCGAGCUGAGCGUGUGGCACUUGGGAAAGAUCCCGUGAAGUUAGCACUGCAUCCAAAUGCUACUGCUGCUACUGAGUGCGUGACCCUCACUCAGCAGCUCUGACCUUCAUCUUUCUUAUCACAAAAUGCAAUGAGUAAUAGUCCUGCAUCAAUGUAAGGAUUGAUGUAAAAGUCAAAUGAGCUAAAGUCCUCCACUUCACUCCAUCCAUGUCCUAGGACCAGUAACACAGGCAUUGCCUUUUAGAAAUGCAGCAACUCAGACCCACCCAACCAGCUGAAUCAGAAUCUGCCUUUCCCAAGCUCCCCAGGUGUGCGUGAGUGUGUGGGCAGCACUGCCCUAGCGCCCUGCCCAGCACCUAACAGCUGCUGAAUAAAUAAUAGCUAUUAUUGUUAUCAGUUAUUGAGGGUCCAACCCUCAAAUAGCUCACGAAUAACUCAUGUGAGCACACAGGCCUAUGAGGAAGAUAAGCCAGACAUUCUGCAAGGAGAGAAGACGGAGCAGCUGCCACAGUUUAGGGCCCUUGGACAAAGCUGUAGACCCGACUUCCUUCCUUCGUUUCUCUGCUUUAAUAAUGUCCUUUCUUUCUUGAAUCAAUGUUACCUUAUUUCUGUGCUGAUUGUGCUCCAGGCUCUCUGUCCUGGGCCCUGGGGAGAGAAAGCCACAUAAAGUCAUCACCCUUGACUCAAGUCAUUUACACCUUAAUCAGAGACACAUAAACCAAUAAUCACAAAACGAGUUAUGGUACCGAUGGAAGCCAAUAGACCACCAACUGGUGUCAGGAAGGAUGGUUGAGGAGGCCAGAGGGAGAGGUUAACACAGACCUUUCCAAGGCAGAGAAAAGGUGGAGAACACUUUGCCGGUUCCUAUCAUGCAUGCCCACUUUCUCCCUCUCUGUCUCUCCCUCUCCAUCUCUCCUUCUCUGCCUUUCUCUCUCCACACAGCUCAGUCAUAUAAUAUAUAAAUCUGUAUAUUGUCUUUUCAGUUAAUGUUAUUACAUAGCAAUGGUCCUAUAUGUAACUGGUAUGGUGAAUAAAUAGGACU